AGUCAUUUUUAUGAUUAUUGUUGUGCUUAUAUAUAAAUAAUAAUAAUAAAAACAAAACAAAAA
rnacentral:rRNA from 14 species